rnacentral:rRNA from 1 species
UCGAGUGGCGAACGGGUGAGUAACACGUGGGUGAUCUGCCCUGCACUCUGGGAUAAGCCUGGGAAACUGGGUCUAAUACCGGAUAUGACCAACUGUCGCAUGGUGGUUGGUGGAAAGCUUUUGCGGUGUGGGAUGGGCCCGCGGCCUAUCAGCUUGUUGGUGGGGUAAUGGCCUACCAAGGCGACGACGGGUAGCCGACCUGAGAGGGUGAUCGGCCACACUGGGACUGAGACACGGCCCAG